GGUUUGGUAGUUUAACAUAAAACUUUAACCUUGUAAGUUAAAAAAGGUCCUCCCCAAACUU
rnacentral:tRNA from 1 species